rnacentral:rRNA from 1 species
ACCAAGGCGACGAUCAGUAGCUGGUCUGAGAGGAUGAUCAGCCACACUGGAACUGAGACACGGUCCAGACUCCUACGGGAGGCAGCAGUGGGGAAUUUUCCGCAAUGGGCGAAAGCCUGACGGAGCAAUACCGCGUGAGGGAGGAAGGCUCUUGGGUUGUAAACCUCUUUUCUCAGGGAAUAAGCAAGUGAAGGUACCUGAGGAAUCAGCAUCGGCUAACUCCGUGCCAGCAGCCGCGGUAAUACGGAGGAUGCAAGCGUUAUCCGGAAUGAUUGGGCGUAAAGCGUUCCGUAGGUGGCUGUGUGUGUCUAUUGUUAAAGAGUUUGGCUCAACCAAAUAAGGGCGGUAGAAACUACACAGCUAGAGUGCGUUCGGGGCAGAGGGAAUUCCUGGUGUAGCGGUGAAAAUGCGUAGAGAUCAGGAAGCAACACCGGUGGCGAAAGCGCCUCUGCUAGGCCGCAACUGACACUGAGGGACGAAAGCUAGGGGAGCGAAUGGGAUUAGAUACCCCAGUAGUCCUAGCCGUAAACGAUGGAUACUAGGCGGUUGAGAGUAUCGACCCUCUCAGUGCCGUAGCUAACGCGUUAAGUAUCCCGCCUGGGGAAGUACGCACGCAAGUGUGAAACUCAAAGGAAUUGACGGGGGCCCAGCACAAGCGGUGGAGUAUGUGGUUUAAUUCGAUGCAACGCGAAGAACCUUACCAGGGCUUGACAUGUCUGGAACUCUGGGGAAACUCGGAGUUGCCUUCGGGAGCCAGAACACAGGUUGGUGCAUGGGCUGUCGUCAGCUCGUGUCGUGAGAUGUUGCGGUUAAGUCCCGCAACGAGGCGCAACCCUCGUACUAUAGUGUG